AUGACCGAUUCCAAGCUGCCGGACAUCCAGUCCGGCUAUGAAAAAGGCAUCACCGAUGUGAUGGCGGGCCUGGCCGGGCUCAAUCUCGUUUAUGAAUCGG
rfam:Pseudaminobacter manganicus strain JH-7 JH-7_scaffold6, whole genome shotgun sequence.